rnacentral:pre_miRNA from 12 species
GCCGGAGAGGCCAUCGGAGCCUUCCUGGUGCCCUUCAUUCCACCGGAAUCUGUCGAUGCAGAACCCGGAUUUCAGUGAAAUGAAGCCCCUCAGAAAGGCAGGUCAGCCCCACCUCAGCA